rfam:Candidatus Tagabacteria bacterium RIFCSPLOWO2_01_FTLL_42_9 rifcsplowo2_01_scaffold_40101, whole genome shotgun sequence.
GCCCCUUUAGUUCAGUGGCAGAACAGUGGUUUCGUAAACCACAAACGUCAGUUCGAUUCUGACAUGGGGCU